rnacentral:rRNA from 1 species
ACCUCGUCGACAGCGGAGGGACAUUUCCCGAGUUUACAACUCCCAAACCCAAUGUGAACGUUACCAAACUGUUGCCUCGGCGGGAUCUCUGCCCCGGGUGCGUCGCAGCCCCGGACCAAGGCGCCCGCCGGAGGACCAACCAAAACUCUUUUUGUAUACCCCCUCGCGGGUUUUUUUUUAUAAUCUGAGCCUUCUCGGCGCCUCUCGUAGGCGUUUCGAAAAUGAAUCAAAACUUUCAACAACGGAUCUCUUGGUUCUGGCAUCGAUGAAGAACGCAGCGAAAUGCGAUAAGUAAUGUGAAUUGCAGAAUUCAGUGAAUCAUCGAAUCUUUGAACGCACAUUGCGCCCGCCAGUAUUCUGGCGGGCAUGCCUGUCCGAGCGUCAUUUCAACCCUCGAACCCCUCCGGGGGGUCGGCGUUGGGGAUCGGCCCUGCCUCUUGGCGGCGGCCGUCUCCGAAAUACAGUGGCGGUCUCGCCGCAGCCUCUCCUGCGCAGUAGUUUGCACACUCGCAUCGGGAGCGCGGCGCGUCCACAGCCGUCAAACACCCAACUUCUGAAAUGUUGACCUCGGAUCAGGUAGGAAUACCCGCUGAACUUAAGCAUUAA